CCCUUAGAUGUUCUGGGCCGCACGCGCGCUACACUGAUGCAUUCAACGAGUCUAAAACCUGCUCUGAUAGGGGUGGGUAAUCUUUUGAAUGUGCAUCGUGAUUGGGAUAGAUGAUUGCAAUUUUUCAUCUUCAACGAGGAAUUCCUAGUAGACGUAGUUCAUCAGACUGCAUCGAUUACGUCCCUGCCCUUUGUACACACCGCCCGUCGCUCCUACCGAUUGAAUGCUCAGGUGAGCCAUUCGGACUUUCAUCAUGCUGGUUUCCAGUUUUGAUGAAGGAAAGUCUUGCGAACCUUAUCAUUUAGAGGAAGGAGAAGUCGUAACA
rnacentral:rRNA from 1 species